UGGAUGUUCAGGUCUUUGCUUUAAAUUUCAGGUCAUUUGAAAUUGAAGAUAAUGAAGGAUUCCAUUUAAAAACCUAAACAGCCUAAAUAAAUGAACCGAAGUCAUGUUCGUGGCUGUGGAUAAAUAAAAACUCUAAAAUGCCAGACUUGCUUUAAUACCUUAUUUGGGACGAGGCUGUAGGUAAUAUGUGACGGGUAAGAGGUUACUGAUCUAUCAGAUUUAUAAUUUUUUUAAACCACUGGGGUUUUUAUAGAGCGUGCAUGCUGUGAUUUUGGGAUGGGACCGUCGUAAAGAGUGAGACUGAGAUACAGGUCAAAUUAACUAACUAACAUUAACCAGUGGAAUUUAUACAUAAGGGAUAUAUUAUAUUAAUUAUAUAUGCUGAAUAUUUUUACACAUUUCUGUAGUCCCAGUCCUGUACUGAAGCUUUCAAAAUGAAACAUACAAAAAAAUAUUUGUGUGAGGCAUUUUAAGGGCAGUCUGAGGUAAUGUCUGAGGUACUAUAGGGUCAGUCUGAUGUAAUAUUUGAGGCGGUGUGUGUAUGAGGCAUUUUAAGGGCAGUCUGAGGUAAUGUCUGAGGUACUAUAGGGUCAGUCUGAUGUAAUAUUUGAGGCGGUGUGUGUAUGAGGCAUUUUAAGGGCAGUCUGAGGUAAUGUCUGAGGUACUAUAGGGUCAGUCUGAUGUAAUAUUUGAGGCGGUGUGUGUAUGAGGCAUUUUAAGGGCAGUCUGAGGUAAUGUCUGAGGUACUAUAGGGUCAGUCUGAUGUAAUAUUUGAGGCGGUGUGUGUAUGAUUCAUUUUAAGGGCAGUCUGAGGUAAUGUCCGAGGUACUAUAGGGUCAGUCUGAUGUAAUAUUUGAGGCGGUGUGUGUAUGAUUCAUUUUAAGGGCAGUCUGAGGUAAUGUCCGAGGUACUAUAGGGUCAGUCUGAUGUAAUAUUUGAGGCGGUGUGUGUAUGAUUCAUUUUAAGGGCAGUCUGAGGUAAUGUCCGAGGUACUAUAGGGUCAGUCUGAUGUAAUAUUUGAGGCGGUGUGUGUAUGAGGCAUUUUAAGGGCAGUCUGAGGUAAUGUCCGAGGUACUAUAGGGUCAGUCUGAUGUAAUAUUUGAGGCGGUGUGUGUAUGAGGCAUUUUAAGGGCAGUCUGAGGUAAUGUCUGAGGUACUAUAGGGUCAGUCUGAUGUAAUAUUUGAGGCGGUGUGUGUAUGAGGCAUUUUAAGGGCAGUCUGAGGUAAUGUCUGAGGUACUAUAGGGUCAGUCUGAUGUAAUAUUUGAGGCGGUGUGUGUAUGAGGCAUUUUAAGGGCAGUCUGAGGUAAUGUCUGAGGUACUAUAGGGUCAGUCUGAUGUAAUAUUUGAGGCGGUGUGUGUAUGAGGCAUUUUAAGGGCAGUCUGAGGUAAUGUCUGAGGUACUAUAGGGUCAGUCUGAUGUAAUAUUUGAGGCGGUGUGUGUAUGAGGCAUUUUAAGGGCAGUCUGAGGUAAUGUCUGAGGUACUAUAGGGUCAGUCUGAUGUAAUAUUUGAGGCGGUGUGUGUAUGAGGCAUUUUAAGGGCAGUCUGAGGUAAUGUCUGAGGUACUAUAGGGUCAGUCUGAUGUAAUAUUUGAGGCGGUGUGUGUAUGAGGCAUUUUAAGGGCAGUCUGAGGUAAUGUCUGAGGUACUAUAGGGUCAGUCUGAUGUAAUAUUUGAGGCGGUGUGUGUAUGAGGCAUUUUAAGGGCAGUCUGAGGUAAUGUCUGAGGUACUAUAGGGUCAGUCUGAUGUAAUAUUUGAGGCGGUGUGUGUAUGAGGCAUUUUAAGGGCAGUCUGAGGUAAUGUCUGAGGUACUAUAGGGUCAGUCUGAUGUAAUAUUUGAGGCGGUGUGUGUAUGAGGCAUUUUAAGGGCAGUCUGAGGUAAUGUCUGAGGUACUAUAGGGUCAGUCUGAUGUAAUAUUUGAGGCGGUGUGUGUAUGAGGCAUUUUAAGGGCAGUCUGAGGUAAUGUCUGAGGUACUAUAGGGUCAGUCUGAUGUAAUAUUUGAGGCGGUGUGUGUAUGAGGCAUUUUAAGGGCAGUCUGAGGUAAUGUCUGAGGUACUAUAGGGUCAGUCUGAUGUAAUAUUUGAGGCAGUGUCUGAGGUAAUGUUUGAGGUCUGAGGUAAUGUUAUCCUGUACUGAAGCUUUCAAAAUGAAACAUACAAAAGUAUAUAUUUUUUAAAAGUAAAAAUAAAUGAAACGCCGAAGAGAGAAAGGUGAAACAUGAUCAGCUCUGACUUAAAAAAAAUAAUAUAUAUAUAAAUAUAAAGCUAAAGUAAAAGGGUGGACUCGUUUUUUAAAAACUGCUACGUUUAGGGUGAAAAAACAAUAUCGACAAUUUGCAUAAAUCUACAUAAAUUCUGUCCUAUCUAAAAGACAGCUGACUUUUAAUGCGCUUUAUUUAACUUUUUUUUUUUUUUUUUUUUUAAAUGGAGAAGGUGAUAAACUUCAAAUCCAUGAUGAUAUAAUCUAUUAAUGAAAGAAUUUGUUUACCUUGUUUACACGACUGAGUUAAUAAAACACGCCAAUAUUUAUGUUUCAUUUCUUGCCACAAAGAUAAAUAUAAACAUUAGCCCAUGUCAUUGGUCACAUCACACACACACACACACACACACACACACACACACACAAAUGAUGAAAUGUGACUAAUAUGUGUGAUUCUACUACACACUAAUGACCUAAUAAACACAAAAUGAGUCGAAUGCAGCACGUUCAGCUAAACUAGGUUGUUUUUUCCCCCCUGAUGGUUGAGAUUAGGAUCAGCUACUAAAGCUCUGAGAAUAAUCAUUUAAUAUGAAGAUAAGAAUUAUAAAUCCUAUUAGUACUACAGGAGUUAAUAACUGUUAGAACACCAUGGUCGAGGCUCCCUCUAAAGCCACAAUCACGCAUUAAUACAGCUAUUUUUGGUUUGUAUCUCACACACACACACACACACACACUAUAAAAAAGUAACACACUUCACGUAAAAAAUGAGAUGUACAUCCUGAUGUACAUCUAA